rnacentral:rRNA from 1 species
AACGAACGCUGGCGGCAUGCCUAACACAUGCAAGUCGAACGAGACCUUCGGGUCUAGUGGCGCACGGGUGCGUAACGCGUGGGAACCUGCCCUUAGGUUCGGAAUAACUCCCCGAAAGGGGUGCUAAUACCGGAUAAUGUCUUCGGACCAAAGAUUUAUCGCCUUUGGAUGGGCCCGCGUUGGAUUAGCUAGUUGGUAGGGUAAAAGCCUAUCAAGGCGACGAUCCAUAGCUGGUCUGAGAGGAUGAUCAGCCACACUGGGACUGAGACACGGCCCAGACUCCUACGGGAGGCAGCAGUGGGGAAUAUUGGACAAUGGGCGAAAGCCUGAUCCAGCAAUGCCGCGUGAGUGAUGAAGGCCUUAGGGUUGUAAAGCUCUUUUACCCGGGAUGAUAAUGACAGUACCGGGAGAAUAAGCUCCGGCUAACUCCGU